rnacentral:lncRNA from 1 species
GGCCGGCAGAGGCCGAGAGAUGAAAUACAAACUAUAAAAUACAAACUAUAAAUUAUACAAUAGAAAACAUAAACUAGAAAAUAGAAAAUAAGAUUUAAAAAUAAAAUAUCAAAUAGAAACUGUAAACCCCCACCUGGGGGACGGGCCAGCAGAGGCCGAAAGUUGAAAUAUAAACUAUAAACUAUAAAACACAAACUAUAAAAUAUAACCUGUACAAUAUCAAAUACACUCCAUACAAUAUCAAAUACAAACUAUGCAAUAUCAAAUAAAAUAUCUCAAAUAUAAGAUAUCAACUAUAAACCCCCACCUGNGGGUCAGUGGCCGGAGUUGGGGUCAGUGGCCGGAGUUGGGGUCAGUGGCCAUGAGGGGUCAGUGGCCGGAGUUGGGGUCAGUGGCCGGAGUUGGGGUCAGUGGCCAUGAGGGGUCAGUGGCCGGAGUUGGGGUCAGUGGCCGGAGUUGGGGGUCAGUGGCCGGAGGGGGGAGGGGCUGGGCAAGCUCAGUGGCCGACACGGCCCAGGGAGCUGUGGGGGGAGGGGAAACACCUGAGACCGAGCCUGAAACUGAGCCCAAAAUCCCAAAACUGAACCCAAAAUCCCCAAAACUGAGCCCAAAAUCCCCGAAACUGAGCCCAAAUCCCUGAAACUGAGCCCAAAUCCCUGAAACUGAGCCCAAAAUCCCUGAAACUGAGCCCAAAAUCCCCAAAACUGAGCCCAAAAUCCCUGAAACUGAGCCCAAAAUCCCCAAAACUGAGCCCAAAAUCCCCGAAACUGAGCCCAAAUCCCCAAAACUGAGCCCAAAUCCCUGAAACUGAGCCCAAAAUCCCCAAACUGAGCCCAAAAUCCCUGAAACUGAGCCCAAAUCCCUGAAACUGAGCCCAAAUCCCUGAAACUGAGCCCAAAAUCCCCAAACUGAGCCCAAAAUCCCUGA